rnacentral:rRNA from 1 species
GACGUAGGGCGCGAGCGUUGUCCGGAUUUAUUGGGCGUAAAGAGCUCGUAGGCGGCUUGUCGCGUCGAAUGUGAAAACUCGGGGCUCAACUCCGAGCUUGCAUUCGAUACGGGCAGGCUAGAGUUCGGUAGGGGAGACUGGAAUUCCUGGUGUAGCGGUGAAAUGCGCAGAUAUCAGGAGGAACACCGGUGGCGAAGGCGGGUCUCUGGGCAGUAACUGACGCUGAGGAGCGAAAGCAUGGGGGAGCGAACAGG